AAAUAAAUAAUAUUUAAAAUUUUUUUACAUUUUUGGUCUUAAACUAAUUGUUUUCAAGUUUAUUGUGUACGUACUUUAAAUAUGUAAAAGGAUUUUUUAUUCUGUAAAUUUAAUUCGAAACUACAGGGUUGAACAGAAUGUCGGUAAAACAGACGGCUAGCAUCCUCUUAAUUUACAAAGUUUACAUACGCAAUAAAUACAAAAAAAACGAAGUUUUUUUGUACGUAUUAAUUCUUAUGUGAAAUUAAGUUACAUAUUAUCAUAAAUUUAUAAGAUCUGUGUUUACAGGAUUUGGCAUUCUUUUUUUAAUUGUUAUACACAUUAUUCAAUUUUUUCCGAUUAUUUUUGAUUUUGUUUUACCAUUGGACAAACCUCGACCACGCAAAUUACUUAUUGAAGUGGAAUAUUUUGUCGUUCAAGAUAAUUAUUUUUAUAUCAUUGUAUUCCAUGAACUUAUUAUUAUUGUAUUAUAUACGUUCGUGAUGUUGGCCAUAGGUACGCAAUUAUUGUUAUUUGCACAUCAUUCUUUCGGAAUGUUUAAAAUCGCCAGUCAUCGAAUAAAGCAUUCCAUCGACGAUGUUAUAUACAUGCCAAAUUGUGAAAAGGAACGCACAUUUUGCAAGAAAAUUUUCCAUGUUGUAAUCGCACACCAUAGAGCUAUGGAGUUGGUAUAUCAUAUUUUUUGUUUUUGAAACAUUUUUUAAUAGUUUUUUAUAGUUUCUUUUCAACGGGGUACAUGCAUUCCCAAGCUUCUUUCCAAAAAUCGUUUUAUUUCUUUUUAUUAAAAAACUUUUUUACAAUUUUAAGAAUAUGGGACAAAAUAAAUUGAAGUAAAAGAUAUGAUAUUAAGAGUCACAAAAAUAAUGAGCAGUAAGAGAAAUACGAGCAAUAAAAUAAGCGCGUAUAUUCUUCAGAAAUUACUAAGUUUAUCGUCAAUUACGUGAAACUCGAAUAGUUUUUAAUAUUUUUAGAUAAAAAUUUAUGUUAUUCAAAAUAAAAUUUUAUACCGAUUAUUGAACAAUUUUAUUUUUUAAUACAUUGUUAUAAAAGAGGUUUUAAAAUUUUUAUCGGAAAAUCAAUUUUUUAUUACACGUGCGUUGAAAAUGGUCUCUUUCGUAUUACUUUUUUCUGGAUAAAGAAUUUCAACACUUUAUGAUUCUUGCACAGUUUUUGUUACCCCUGUCGACGUCGACUCAGUCCCCCUCCCCACAAAAAAUAUUAAAUUCCUACUUAGAAUAAUAAGCUCAAAAAUUUUAAUUUGUGGCAUGUAAGAGCUCAUAAAUAGCUCAGAAUUUUGCGUUAUUCGUUUUUUUAUUUUUGCAUGGUGGGGGAGGCCAGCUCGACAGGGGUGUUUUGUCCUUCAAUAGAUGGCAUCAGCCUGUGUGAAGUUAGCACCGCAUCUUUCAAAAUCGUAAGUUUUAUCAAGAGUACUAUUUGCACCCCAAAGAGUACUAGAGU